rnacentral:rRNA from 1 species
CAUGCAGGCGGUUAAACAAGUAGGAUGUGAAAUCCCCGGGCUCAACCUGGGAACUGCAUUCUAAACUGUUUAACUAGAGUAUUGCAGGGGGAGACGGAAUUCCAGGUGUAGCGGUGGAAUGCGUAGAUAUCUGGAAGGACACCAAAGGCGAAGGCAGUCUCCUGGGCAAAUACUGACGCUCAGAUGCGAAAGCGUGGGUAGCAAACA